AAAGCCGCGAGGUAGAGCAAAUCUCAAAAAAACAAUCUCAGUUCAGACUGCAGGCUGCAACUCGCCUGCACGAAGUCGGAAUUGCUAGUAAUCGUAGGUCAGCAUACUACGGUGAAUACGUUCCCGGGCCUUGUACACACCGCCUGUCAAACCAUGAGAGUUGGCAACACCCGAAGUCGGUAGUCUAACCGCAAGGAGGACGCCGCCGAAGGUGGGGUUGAUGAUUAGGGUUAAGUCGUAACAAGGUACC
rnacentral:rRNA from 1 species